AGGAGUUGGGACUAUGGAAGAUCACUGCCAAGCACCGAUCAGUGGAGUCACUCAGCUUUACAAAAGUGGGAUUUAUUUGAGAUGUGGACAUGGAGUGAAAUGUGUCUCCUUUGCUCUGACUGUUGCCAACGGUUUACUGCAGGACGGACGGCUGUCAAACUGACUUGGGAAGAGGGAAAUGCUGAGCAAGGAGUCUUUAGAUUUGUCACUUUUUAACAGUUUGGAUAAAAGUGACAAAGUUAUCAAAUUAAGCAUUACUUCUUCUUUGCCCCCUGCCAUAGUGGAUAUCGGAGCGUUUUCCUUGCUAUGAGGAUGAUAAAGCCGGUGUUAUGCCAGGGGAAGCUACUUGCUAGCUAGACCUGAUUCUUCAUCUGGCCUGACAAUGCAGAGGAUUUUACAGAUGGCCGGGAACGAUUUGCAAGCAAUCGGAUAUCUUCCUUGUUACAGCCAAUCAUAACAACACACCCGUGGGGCUGUAACUUAUGCAUAAGCCAAUCAUAUUAACCCAUUUCAACAUUGUUGUAUCCAUGUUGAAGUUCAGACAGUUUGGACCUCAACAUGGCUUCUAGCAGCGACAGCAGAGUGGUACUACGCCAGCGCUUCUUCAUGCUGUUUUACGUCAGGCUGGUGCCUUUCCAUGUAGUUGAAUUUCUUGUGAAUAAGAUGCCACAUAGCCACAACCAAACUGUGACAGCAACAAGGAGGAAGAAAUUAAUACAUUGGAAAAUAAAAUUGCCCUUCACUGGAUUUUUGAGAACAUUCAUAGAAGAAGGCAAUACAUG